rnacentral:lncRNA from 1 species
CCAUUGGUUCCAACUGCUCAAAAGAGCGUCGGCAUUACCGUCCGCAUACUGGCAUUGGGGGUUGUUGUAGAACUGGACCCAAACGUAGUCAAAUAAACCGGUUUGGAUAGCGCCGUCUAGGUGAGCAUCCGGGAUCGGACAUUGUGGAGCUGCGGCUAAAUAGACCGUUUUUGCCUGUCCGUUGUGUCCGUUGAGUGACUUGGCGAGCUCAUCAUAGAACUGCGCACCACCCGCCUCAAUGUCGAAAUCAACGCCGUCCAAAACCGCGUCCCCAAGCGGGCGCGAAGCUGACUGACCACCUAAGAAGUUGUUCCAGAUGUAAUCAGCAACUUGCCUUGCAUCAUCAGCUGAAGUGAGAGAGUAACUUCCGGCGGCCCCUCCAAUCGAGAGGAGGACUUUUAUGUUUUUUGAUUGGCAGGUUCUGAUGUCGGCACUCAGCCCGGUGCAAGUACCACUAGCGGGGUCGCAGUGGCCGGCGAGGUUUAGGACAGGGGUUUGGUUGUUUCCGAAAGUAGUGAGGAAAGCUAUGUUAACAAACUGGUAGUUGCCUGAGUUGCAAGCAUCUGCUAGGGUUCCUUCGUUUCCGUUUUGGCCCCAAUAGACCGCAAUUCCGGCGGCUUGGGAGGACUUGCAUGAAGAAAUGAGGAUCAAGAGGGACAGCGUUAGGGCUAGGGUUUGUGUUUUGGAUGCCAUUUUUAUAUGUUUUUUUGGGUUGUUGUUCAAAGUGCUUGGGAGUGGACAUGUACUUAUAGGUGCAGGGGACUUAUCGGUUAAGGUUUAGGGGAAGAAAAGUAUGACAGACGUGUUCUGCAGGUAAGAGUCUUCUGCUUGCAACCGCGUCAAUCACGUUAGGGCCUGUUUAUUUAGUCCAAGUUUCACUUUACAACUUAGAACACGUCAAUUAAAUUAGGUCGGGUUGAAAAUGCAUUUUCCAAAACCACUUUCACACAUAAGCGCUUCUUAUAUUUUCAUAAAAAUGCAAGUGGUUUUAUAAAAAAAAAAACUUGAGGUGUUUGGCGUGUGUUUUUUCAGAAAGCACUUAAAAUAUUUUUUCAACCUAAAAUCACUGAAUUUUUUAUGAUUUCAAAGUUCUUUUAAUUGUUUUGAAGGCACUUCCAACUGAUAUUUUAUAAAAAAUUACUUCUAGAGAGAAUUAUAGCAUGCUAAUUGAGAGAUUCCGAAACUAAAAAGCCAUCAAAUUUGCCAAAAAAAAAAUCUGAUGAGACAAUACGUGGAGAAUCAACACAGCUGUAUCAUCACCAAAAAUUUUCAGUGUGCAGAAAUACAGUCCGGUACAAAGUGUUAUAAUAAAAUUGGUUGAUUUUUUUUUUUAAGUUUCCAACUAAUUAUAUUAUUACACUUGAUGUACCGAUCCGUAUUUCUGAAAAAUCUCUCCUUACCAUCACAUCACAUGAAUGUUUUGGAAAGUUCGUAGAUAGAAACCAAAAUCUCUCCUUAUCAUCACAUCACAUCACAUGAACGUUUGGGAAGCUCGUCGAUAGAAACCAAAUGGAAUAUGCUUUUAGCUGAGGAUGGCCAUUGGCCAGGGACUUCGGUCUAAUCACGAUGCUUUAAUUUCGCAGUCGGAAAAAAACUUUCGAAUAAAAUUUAGGGUAUAUUUAGGAAGUGUUUUUAAAUGAUUGAAAACAUUUUUAGAAAUAUUUUUUUUUAAAAACGUUUCCAGUCAUUUAAAAAAACUUCUUAAACGAGUUUAAUUACUUGUGUAUGGGGCAACAUUUAGCUAGUAAUGGUUCUCAUGAAUUGGAUUGUGGUGAUGUGAAAAUGGGUUUGGGUUAGUUUAGUUUAGAGUUUAUAUUUACUAUCCGGUGCAUGCAAAUGGAAUGUCAAAUCUUUCAGAGAAAUUUUGAUAGAACUGCCACUUAGGGCAACACAUAUUAAACAAACAAAUGUAGGGUUGGAGAAGACUAAAAUACAUGAAUUCUCGUGUUUUCAUAAAUGUGAUCUAAAAAUAAUAUAGCAUGUGCCCUGAGAACAACGUGAUCAGUACCUAAUCGAAGUUCUCUAGUGUGGAAAGAUUCAAGAGGGGUGUGACGCUUCCGACAAAUAAAAAAUCACACAUUUUCGAAUUCGGAAAUGUAUAGAACAGAGCAGAUAUCACUAGAUGAAUGUUAACUGUUUUACAGAAAAUUUAUAAGACAAUUAGAGUUAAACAACAGAAGCUUGCACUUUAAAUGGUUAUGUCCAGCUGCUUUUGGUAUGUAUAUGCUUUUUCCAUGUCUCGAUGUAGUUCCAGUUCACUGCUCAUCAUCCUGGAACAAUGCUUUCGAAACAGAGCCGCACGGCUGGCUACUGUAUUCUCGGUAAUCUUCAUCGUCAUCACAGCUGCGUUGCGAGCAUGAACGUUUGAUUCCUGUCAUUGGGGUUUCACAGACUCUGUCAUCGCAUGAACCUCUAUGAUCCUUCCUUUUAAACAGCUUUCGAAGCGGAUUUGACUUUGGUUUCAAUGGUUUCAGCCGUUUGGGGGCCCAAACUCUCUGCAGAUCGGGCAUCCAUCUUGUGGAUGAAGCGAAUCUCCAAGCCCUCUCUCUCCUCUCUUGAGCUUCAAGUAACUUGCGAGCAUGGUCGUCCUAUUGUUUGAUCUCUUCGACGCUUGGUCUUCCAAUAUCAGUUUUCAGCGGACGAAGAGACUCACCUUCUGCUUGUAAUGAGUCCCAGAUUCUAUAACUUCCAUCCACUUCGACACUCUUCGGUUUUUCUUUACAGGAUCGAUUGCUAUCCUCACUGUUGAGUAAACUAUUAGGGAGUUCUUCCUCAUCAGCAAACAGUAACAAAUCCAUUUUCGUAUAGAUUUUGUGAACCACAUCUUCAAGUGUCUCACAGUACCUGAAAAAUGUCCAAAUUCAGGCUCUUGACAAUUUGACAAAGCAUUUCAUUGAAAAGGUUCAAUCCUUACUACCAUUAUAAUUUAUAAUGUGUUGUAUGGUUUACCUCGUAAUGGUGCUAAGUUAUUUCUACAGUUUUGGGGCAUUUUUUUUGCAGUUUCGGUGCAAUUUUGAUGCAGUUCUUUUUUUUUGCAAUUUUGCUGCAUUGUUGUUGCUGUUUUUGCUGCAUGUUCAUUGAUUAAUAAAAAGGUCGUACCCAGUGCACAAGGCUCCCUUGAUUAAUAUAUGAGAAAAAUAAGACUGUCAUAUGCUUAAAUAGGUGUAUAUUUUAAAUUAUACAUUUUUUUUUCAAAAAUCGAACCGAAACUGUUUGAAACCGUACCGCACCAAACCAAACGGUUUGGUUUCAUUUCAGUUUUGGCUUCAAAACUGCACCGAACCGCACCGCAAAAAAAUUUGGUUUCGGUUGCGGUUUCACUCGAAACCGCACCGAAGCGCACCGCGCCCACCCCUACAGGGGACUUGUCGAUGAAGGUUUAGGGGAAGAGAAGUAUGACAGACGUGUCUUGCGGGUACAAAAUGGGUGCCAGUCUUCUGCAUGCAUGGAACCGCGUGAACCAAGUUAGGGCCUGUUUAGUCCAAGUUUCACUUGACAACUUAGAAAUUUGUCAAUUAAGUUAGGUCGUGUUGGAAAUUCUUUUUUCAAAAACCACUCAUAAGUGCUUUUAAUAUUUUUCGUAAGAAUGCAAGCGUUUUUAGAAAACACACUCAAGGUGCUUAGCGUGUGCUUUUUUUUAGAAAGCACUUUUAAGUGUUUUUUCAACCUAAAAACACUUGUUUUAAAGACACUUCCAACAAACACAUAAUUAAUGGAAAAUUACUUCCAGAGAGAAAUAUAGCAUGCUAUUUGAGAGAUUCCAAAACUAAAAGCUAAAUAGUUAUUAAGCGUGACCUUAACCAAGGUGAAAUAAAAUAUCAAAUUUGACAAACAAUCUGAUGAACGUCAUAGCUAUAUGUAUAGUCAGUAGAUGAGAUAAUCAUGAAACAAAACGUGGAGAAUCAACACAGCCUUAUCAUGGCCAAAAUUUGUCUGUGUGCCAGAACCACGGCCUAGUACACUAAAAGUGUCAUAAUAGAAUUGGUUGGAAAUUCAUUCGGUUACAACUGACUCUGAAGUCUUUAUUUCUGCACAACCACAUAGUGAGAUGUUUGCUUACCAUGCAACCAUGAUGUCCAAUACUCUUGGUACCUCAAUCGUUGUCUUUACCAAAACUGGUUUUAUGGCUAUUCUAUUGAGCCAUUACCGACCUACCGGGAUCAUAUUUGCCUUCACGAAUGAGUGAGUUUUCAAUUUACCUGUCACAAAGGCAUUUAGUUAAAAUUUGUAACUGUAUCAGUCAAAAUAUGCUGUGAAAGUUCUAUUCAUUAGCAAGUACUUUGAUUGCCAUGCAGUAAGAGCAUACAACGGAGAUUGGCUUUGUAUCAAGGCGUAUGUCCAAUAUAUACAUGGAGUUCACAGAAGAUUCUGAAACAAGCUUUAGCAAUGCCUUGACUGUGCUGAAGGUGAUGUUUUGCUGCAGAUUUCCUAAAUUUAUGGCGACGUAUGCUAUUCAACCAUGCCAGCACUGAUGGUUCAUUUUCUGUUGUUCUGUUUGCAGGAGCAAGGAUUGGUAAAGGCAGGAGAAGAGGUCGCACUCGUUCAAAGUGGCAGGCAACCCAUUUGGCGGCUCCAAUCCACUCACAAAAUUCAAGUGCGCAAAAUUUAGGUGCAACGGAGAUGGAAUAAUCGCCCUCGUAACAUAGAUUUCUUCGUCUACACUACAAAAGUUUCAAAUGAUAGCUUUUGUGUUGUACUUCCAGCGGAAUUGUCGUGAUACUUUCUUCCUUUGGUUGUUUUUUUUCUUCUGUUGCACACUUUUGUGAUCCUAUCAAUGUGCUUCUUUUUGUUUCCGAUUUCCCCCUAGUUAAUUUUGGCGUAUGUUUUAGAACUGUAAGUUGUUAAAGUAUAAAUUUGGCAGUUUGAAUGCAAACUGUCUAAAUUUUUUUAAUAGUUCGAUUGAGGAAACAGAUCGUCACACUCACAUUCUAAUAUCCGCCGCUUACCGUUUGUCGUGUGGCCGUUUAACACUGACUAAGGUAGAUCUCACAUCAGAUCAGCACGGGACUAGGUUCCGUGCUCUUGUGAAAGUUAUUCUACGUACGACGUGAUUCUACACAUGGUUUGUGGUUUGGGCUUGAACCGGUCUCUACGAAAUGAGGCAGAUUUUUUGUUUAUUAACAAAGGUCAAAAGUCAAACAAAAAUUGUUGAUACAGACUAUCUUAAACAAAAUUAAACAACAUUCGCUUGAAUAAUUAUCAAAUUGACAAUGUCUCAUAGGUGAUGCUGUCCAUACACUCUUUUUAUUUUUCACUCACUCCUCCCAAUUUUUAACCGUCAGAUCGAAUAAAUUAAAGAUGAUCAAAAGACAAAAAUUAACUGAAGAUAUGUGAAAGAAAAAACAAAAUGUAUAUAUAGCAUCACCUAUCUUAUUAGGAUAAUGACAUCCGAUUUAUUUGAUAUAAUCUUUUAGGGAAACCAAAACGUUGAGUUACAAAAGUCAAACUCUUCCGAUGAUGGAAUAACUAUAUCCAUUUUUAUCAUCACAAAACUCGGACCCUAACAUCACACCACCAUACUUCGACGACUUCUUUAUCACCAGUAGAAUUUCCGAAUUCAGCAAAGCAGCCACAAUAUACCCACUUCUGGCCACCUCAGGAGUGGCCGGCAACCCCAAAAACAUCUUCCCUUUCUAAUACAUUAAUGAUGUCAGUUGGCGUCUUAACAAGAUGGGAGACUUUGGAGUCGCUUUAUUGGGAUCUCCCGAGUACUCGGUACUCUAUGUAUUUUAACCGUUAAAUCUUUGUUUAAAAAUAUAAAAAUCAAAUUCUAACAGUUAAAAUAUUCAAAAUAUCCAUAGUACCGCUCGAAAUUUUUUGAGACAUUAAAUGCAAUCCCUCCAAGAAAUCAUCUCAAAUUUUUUUGAGACAUUAAAUGCGAUCUCUCCAAGAAAUUAUUAGAUUAUACCGUAGUACCAUCUCAGCCGUGGUAGUUUCAUCCAAAGGCUAGCCUUUACAAUAUGAGCUAGCCAGCCUUCAUGCACACAGUGCCUGCCAAUCAUGUAAAACCAUUGACAAUGAUACAUGACAAUUUAUUUGGACCUAUAACUUCAUUUCAUAACUACAUCAGAUAACCGUUUAUGUGCAACUAUAUUUUAUUCAAUUUCAAAAAUUAGCAUAUGCAAUGACAUGUUUUAUCGUAAAAAGUACAAGAAAUUUUCAACGUAUCACAAAUACAAAGUGUUAUACCACAUGUCAUUAUAUAAAGAGAAAUUUUUUAUAUUUUAAGUCUGUCUCCACUUAUAUAAUAUGUGUUGUACCAUCCGAAUUCCGGAUCAGUAAAAGAUCUCUCCAAAAAUACAUAUGCAUGUUUUAUUCAAAAGGUUAGGAAUGAUGCGUCAUCAUCCCUAACGCACUUUAUUAUAAGUAGUAUCAUCCAUUGAGGCAGAGAAGUUAAUUAGAUGCUGUCCUUAAUGGAUGCACUAUAGCCGUUGACAAUGUCAUACUGCCUGCCCCAGAGCAUAAUUCCUCCGUACUUGGGCGAUUUCUUAAUCGUUGGAAGAACUUGUGACUUGAGAGCGUCAGCAGGAAUAAAUCCGCCGCCCGGAGCGGCCUCAGGAGCUGCCGGUAUACCCAAGAACACCUGGGUGGCCGGAACCGAGGCCCAUUGGUUCCAACUGCUCAAAAGAGCGUCGGCAUUACCGUCUGCAUACUGGCAUGGGGGGUUGUUGUAGAACUGAACCCAAACGUAGUCAAAUAAACCGGUUUGGAUAGCGCCGUCUAGGUGAGCAUCCGGGAUCGGACAUUGUGGAGCUGCGGCUAAAUAGACCGUUUUUGCCUGUCCGUUGUGUCCGUUGAGUGACCUGGCGAGCUCAUCAUAGAACUGCGCACCACCCGCCUCAAUGUCGAAAUCAACGCCGUCCAAAACCGCGUCCCCAAGCGGGCGCGAAGCGGACUGACCACCUAAGAAGUUGUUCCAGAUGUAAUCAGCAACUUGCCUUGCAUCAUCAGCUGAAGUGAGAGAGUAACUUCCGGCGGCCCCUCCAAUCGAGAGGAGGACUUUUAUGUUUUUUGAUUGGCAGGUUCUGAUGUCGGCACUCAGCCCCGUGCAAGUACCACUAGAGGGGUCGCAGUGGCCGGCGAGGUUUAGGACAGGGGUUUGGUUGUUUCCGAAAGUAGUGAGGAAAGCUAUGUUAACAAACUGGUAGUUGCCUGAGUUGCAAGCAUCUGCUAGGGUUCCUUCAUUGCCGUUUUGGCCCCAAUACGUCGCGAUUCCGGCGGCUUGGGAGGACUUGCAUGAAGAAAUGAGGAUCAAGAGGGACAGCGUUAGGGCUAGGGUUUGUGUUUUGGAUGCCAUUUUUGUAUGUUUUUUUGGGUUGUUGUUCAAAGUGCUUGGGAGUGGACUUGUACUUAUAGGUGCAGGGGACUUAUCCGUUAAGGUUUAGGGGAAGAAAAGUAUGACAGACGUGUUCUGCGGGUUAGAAAUGGGUGCCAGUCUUCAGCUUGGAACCUCGUCAAUCAAGUUAGCUAGGGCCUGUUUAGUCCAAGAAGUUUCACAUAAAACGCCGAUUAAGUUAGGUCGGGUUGGAAAUGCUUUCUUCAAAAACUACUUACACACGUAAGCGCUUCUUAUAUUUUUCAUAAGAAUGCAAGUGCUUUUGAAAAAAAACACUUGAGCUGUUUCGUGUGUUUUUUUCAGAAAAUACUUUAAAUGUUUUUUCAAACUAAAAAUCCAUUAAAGCUCCUUUACUUGUUUAAGGGCACUUCCAAAAUCAUAUUUAAAGAAAAAUUACUUCUAGAGAGAAUUAUAACAUGCUAAUUGAGAGAUCCCGAAACUAGAAACUAGAUAGUUAUAAUGAAGCGUGACCUUAACUGCUUAAUUAAGUGAAAAAAGCCAUCAAAUUUGACAAAAAGUCUGAUGAAAGGUCAUAGCUGUAUCAUCUGUAGAUGAGAUAAUCAUGAAACAAUGUGGGGAAUCAACACAUCCUUAUCAUCGUCAAAAAAAAAAAUUCACUGUGCUGGAAGCACGUUCAAUUGAACGUUUUGGAAGUUUGUGGAUAGAAACCAAAUGGAAUAUGCUUGUAACCAAAAUUGCUGGCUGCUAUAUACAUCUUGGAUUUUAGCUGAGGUGGCCAUUGGCCAAGGACUUUGGUCUAAUCACGAUGCUUUAAUUUCGCAAUCCAAAAAAAAAAUUCAGAUAAAAUUUAGAACACGUUUUGGGAGUGCUUUCAAAUUACUGAAAGCGAUUUUAGAAAGAAAAAAAAUGUUUAUAUAACUAAUCUUUAAUAAAAAUGCAAGUUAAUCCUCCAAAAGUACUGAAACUAGUGCUUCUUUGAUAAAACACUUCAAGUGCUUUUGGAGCUCAAAAAUAUUAUCUCAAGUGGUUUCAGUCAUUUAAAAACACUUUCUAAACGAGUUAAUGACUCGUGUAUGGGGCAACAUUUAGCAAGUAACGGCUCUCAUGAAUUGGAUUGUGGUGAUGUGAAAAUGGGUUUGGGUAAGUUUAGUUUAGACCAGUCAGCAGUGUUUAAAAUAUCCACGACAUUAUCGAUAUUUUCGUUGAAAUAUCCUUAAAAUUAAGGGUCCAUAAGCAAAAGAAGGAUGAAAUGCAAACUUCACCCUAUAUCGGCAAGAUACAAGAAAACAAUGAAUAUAGACAAUAUGUAACAACUCGUCCCAAGAUUUACUGUAUAUAAAUGGUAUUUUUGUAUUUUCAUCAAGUUUGGGAAUUUAUCUUCCUUUUAAAAUUUGUUUUUGGUCUUAAAUGGUGAUCCAAGGGGACCCACUCCCCUGAUUUUGUCCCCGAGCCCUCUUCUCUCUUUCUUCCUCUCCUCUUCCCUUUCCCCUUUCCCGUAUACUUCUAUUCCUCUCUUCUCUAUGAUCACACUCACACCCAGCUGCACUCCCUGCUCGAGGAAGACGCAAUCACCAUCUAAACCACGUCCCUUUCCUCUUCCUCUUGCCUCUGUGCAACUCGGCGAAACCAAGAAAAUAACCUCCGGCAAGUCCGACGGCUUUCGAAGCCAUUUCCUGCCAAACCACGGCGCGUUGGCCGGCGUGCAAGGUAUCAAUCUCUUCGUCCCGUCAAGUACUAUAACUUUUCUUUUUGUUUCACUCAAUUUAAUUGAGUAUUGAAGAAGUUAUACUCAUUUGAAUCUUACCCAGUUUCCGGCGACCUCCGAGGCUUUCGAGGAAAUUUCAGGCCAAACCAUGGCGAGUCAGACGUGAGGUAUCAUUCUCUUCGUCUCUUCCAGGACUACAACUUUCGUUUUUGUCUCGCUUGAUUUCGUUGAGUAGUGACAAAGUUAUGGCUGUUUAAAGUGGGGUGGUUUUCCGGCCGAAUUUCCGGCCUUCUUCUUCCUUGGCAACAGGCCACCCGGCCUUUCCCUCUCCCUCGGACCUUAGGCCCGUGUUGUCUUAAGCCCAAAACCCUAGCCUUUAGUUUUAAGUUUUAUUAUUUGGUUUUAAAACCCUAAAAAGGGCCUUGGGCCGGUGGUUUUUAAAAAGGGCUUAAAGCCCUGUUUUUCUUUAUUUAUUUUUAUUAAGGCCUUAAGGCCUUGUGAUUUUGUGCCCGUGGGUGUGUGUGUUAGGUGUGUAUGUGUUUAUGCAUGCACAUGCAUGCCGUGUGUGUGUGUGUAUUUGUAGUAUGUGUGUGUUUGGGCUAAAGCCCAAACCCCAAUUCUCACCCUAAAACCAUUUUAACCCAAAAUCCUAGGUUCCUAAAAUCCUUUAAAACCCUAAACCCAUCCAAUCCCAAAUCCCCUAUUUUAUUUAAACCUAAACCCUAAUCCGGAUUUCAAGCCUAAAACCCAUUUGACCGUUGACCCCCGGUCAACGUUGAUUUUAGGGUUGACUUUUCGGGUUUUCGUCCGGGACCCUUCUUAGGGUAAUUCGACGUUCUAAAUCCGUUUCCAAUGUCCAUUUUCCCAAAUUCAAUUGUUAUUAUAUAGUUUUAUUUAUUGGACUCUUUAUGUGCUUAGGGGCAAUUAUUGUGACGUUUCCAUCUUCGCUAGUGGCACAGCUUUUGGCAACUAAGUAUUGUGAGUGGACCCCUUCUAGAAUUACAUGAUUUGAUAAUUUAAUUGCAUAAAUGAUUAGCAUGCCUACGAAUUUAUGAUUUGAUUUAUGUGAAGCCUGAUGAUUUAAUAUAUUGAUUAUCGUCUCGGGUUUUGGUGAGGAAUUAUUUGUUAGCCUAUAUUGAGCUAUAUUUUAAUAUAUCGUAUUUUCUAUUAAAACCAUGAACUGGUAGACUAUCUGAUAGAUGACGAUAGGAUGCUAGAACAUGUUUUUGAACCCCUCUUUAUAGUGUAGACGAUGAUCGGUAACCUAUGCUAUGAAGUGGUUUUUUUUAGAGAGACGUAACUAUUUGUGCGUACCUAGUAGACACUAUGCCGCCUGGGGCAAGGAACUGGUGUUGGCAUUUAGGCCGGGAGAAAUAAUCCCUAGCGAAAGGCUGAGGGACACGGAGACAGGCAGUGGGCCAAGAGGGAGUUAUCUCUGGCUACGGGCACAGAGACUGAGGUGCAAGCAUUGGGCCGGGAGUUAUAUUUAUUCAGUGAUCUUUCUAGCAGCACACUGCGUUUACGAGACGAUUUAUGAUGCGUUUACUGUUUUGAUUUCCGCGAUGUUUUUCCGCGUUAUGGCGUUUGAGAUAUUUUUGGCAUACUAGGAUUUUUAUUAAAUCCAUCACUUAUUAUGCUAGUAGUUUUCAUUUAUAUAAACUUUGGGGGUUAGUAUGUUGAUAAUUGUUUUAUUAUUAUUGUAUAUAUAAACUUGGUCCACUCACCUUUGUUUUGCGCCCCCAUUCAGGACUUAGAAUCAAGGCACCUAAUCCCGGCGUGAAGACACUUUCGCAGCAGCAUCUUCGGAUCCUCUCGAUGUAGGACUCACUCCUUUACUCAUUAAAUUUUAUCUUAAUUCUUUUUAGUGAUUAGAUUUAGUUGUAUGCUCUGAGCACGUUCCUAAAACUUUUAACUCUUAGUUUUUAAAUUCAUAACACUUACUUAUUUCUUAUUCUUAGCUUUUGUAUCAAUUAAUGGCUUUCGUCACCCUCGGGUGUCGGCCAGCAUGUGUCUUCCUGGUAUUCGGGGAAUAUCAGGGUCGGGGCGUGUCACAAUAUUUACGGAUUAAUUACAAAAUUUUGCUAAUACCUAUUGCAGAUUUCGAACUGUAGAAUUUUUUUUAUAAAUUUUUUCUUUAAUUUCAACUAAAUCUGAAUGAGUACUUACCCCAUUGUAAAUUUCCAUCGAAGACUUUCCAACUAUAUCGAUAUUUUAAACACUGGUUUAGACCAACAUGUUUAAUAUCCAGUGCAUGCAAAUAGAAUGUCAAAUCUUUUUGAAAAACUUCAGUAUGACUGCCACUUAAGGGCAACUAGCAUAUUAAAGAGACCAAUGCAAAGUUGGAUGAGACUAAAAUACAUAAAGUCUCAUGUUUUGGUGAGAUGUGGUUUACAAAUGAUAUAGCAUGUGCCCUACGAAAAACGAGAUCGGAUUACCUAAUUGAAGUUUCUCUAGCAUGAAAAAUUCAAGAGGGAUGUGACGGUUCCGGAAAGUAAAAAAUCACACAUUUUUAUUAAUAAUUUUUUUGUUCGAAUUCGGAAAUGUAUAGAACUGAACAAAUGGAAUAGUGGCUCAGUGAUACCAACAAUUUCAUGUUGCAAAUUACAAAAAAAAAAAAAAAAAAAAAAAAAAAAGGAAAUGUUUUACACAAAAUUAAUGACAAUUAGAGUUAAACAACAGAAACUUGCACUUUAAAUGGUUUUUUUCUGCUGCUUUUGGUAUGUAUAUGCUUUUUCCGCACCGCUGGCUACUGUAUUCUCGGUAAUUUUCAUCGUCAUCCCAGCUGCGUUGCGAGCAUGAACGUUUGAUUCCUGUCAUUGGGGUUUCACAUACUCUGUCAUCACAUGAACCUCCAUGAUCCUUCCUUUUAAACAGCUUUCGAAGUGGAUUUGACUUUGGUUUCAAUGGUUUCAGCUGUUUUGGGGCCCAAAUUCUCUGCAGAUCGGGCAUCCAUCUUGUGGAGUAAGCGAACCUCCGAGCCCUCUCUCUCCUCUCUUGAACUUCAAGUAACUUGCGAGCAUGGUCGUCCUUUUGUUUGAUCUCUUCAGCGCUCGGUCUUCCAAUAUCAGUUUUCAGCGGACGAAGAGACUCACCUACUGCUGGUAAUGAAUCCCAGAUUCUAUAACUUCCAUCCACUUCGACACUCUUCGGUUUUUCUUUACAGGAUCGAUUGCUAUCCUAACUGUUGAGUAAACUAUUAGGGAGUUCUUCCUCAUCAGCAAACAGCAACAAAUCCAUUUUCUUAUAGAUUUUGCGAACCACAUCUUCAAGUGUCUCACAGUACCUGAAAAAUUCCAAAUUCAAAGAUUAAUCUAUCUGCUUAAGUUAAUUUUCCAUCUCAAACAAAAAUUGAUUGCCCGCACAUGUACUUCCGGAAAACUAAUUCCAGGAACGGAUUAUUUAAGCAACAUCGUUUCUUCAAGGAUCAUACUGUAGACAUACACUAUUGGCACAUUGCAAAAGUUGUAUAAACAUAUUCCACACUCGUUCAGAAAAACAUGGGUACGAUGUGCGCAUAACUGGCCUAUAUCCUGUCAAUCUACACUGAUAAGGAAAGACACUUUAACUCAUCUAAGAUUAUAAAGACAACCACUUUCCUUAUUUAGCAUUGUUGCAAAGGUAAGUAGGACAUGAUUUGUUAGAUAGGUAGUAAUAUCCCACAUGAAAGUGGAACACAGUGGCACCGGAAAUGUGUAUUUGUUGAGACAUGAACGAUAGACUGAAUGCAGCGUGUGCUAUAUAGCCUUUCAGCGAAAGCCAUAAUGCCUCAGUAAAACAUCCAUUAUAUAAAGUAAAGAAUAAUUUCAAGGGUAGGGGUUUUCAACUGUGGUACAGAUUUAUUACCUGCUUUUUAUGAUCUUUUCAACAUAAUCAUACACUCCAGUCACCAAAGAAGCCCUCCAGAUGACAUCGAAUUUUCUCCAAAAAGGAGCAAAUCUGUUUUACAGACUUCUGUUUUGUAGAUUCAGCAAUACGUGCACCAACCUCUGAUUGUAGUAUCUCCAUCCGGAAAAAUAUCUGCAAUUCAUAUCGUGCACGAGCUGGCGCAAGGAGGCGGCGAAGCACGAAGCCCGGGGCGGCGAUGCCGGGUCGAGGCGAAAUGCGGGGAGGGAAUUGAGGGUUUGGGAGAGGGAAUUGAAAGUGGGGCCGGGGAGGUGGAAAGAGAGGGAGAGAGAAGUGGGGAGCUUGGAGGAGGAGAGCAGCGGAGAGAGGGAGGAGAAGAAGGGUCUGAAGGCGAAGAGAGAGGCGGAGAGAGGAGGGAAAGAGAGGAUGGUUUUGACGGCGGCGAGGAAGGCUGUGAGAAAUGGAGCUGGGUUUUGGAGGUGGAGGAGUGGGUUGAGGCCUAGGAGGAGGACGAUGCGCUGCGUUUUGCCGUAGUCGGCGAUUGGGUCGCCGGAGCUCCGUUCAGAUGCCAUCGCAUUUGCAGGAGGAGAAAGAGACGGACUUGGGUUGCAGAGAAGGGAGAUGCAAAUGUGGAAUUAAGGAACAGUAAACCGAAUACGCAGUCGUUUUAGUAGAAAAACGACGAUACGGUAGAUGCUUGAGCGGGAAACCAAAUUUUGGCUGUAAAGGAAAUGUUUUAGGCCCCGUUUGGGAUUGAGGUGAUUUUAAAAAAAGCCACUGUGAAAAAAAGCUGAGGGUCAUUUUUGUGUUUGGUAAACUGAAAAAAGGGCUUAUUUUGGAAGCUGCUGUGAAAAUAAGCUGAAAAUCAAAGGAAAAGCUGAAGCUGCUAUUUGCUGCUUUGAAAAAAAGCCAGUUUUUUCAAAGCACACAGAGCUACAAUGCUCCUUUAAUGAAAAGACACACUAUCAUCCUGAUUUUUUUUCCAAAAGCACUUUCACAAAAAAGUUUACCAAACACUCUACUGCUUUAUUUCACAGCCGCUUAUUCUCACAGCACAGCCGCUUAUUCUCACAGCAGCUUUUUUUCAAAGCACAGCAAUACCAAACCAGCCCUUAAUCUCAUGAAGGACCUGUUUGGACUGCAUCUAAAUUUGUUAAAAGCGCUUUUAGAGAACAAAAGAGCUUUUGACAUCAGUUGAAAAAAAAAAAAUAUUUAAAGUACUUCUUCACGUGAAAAAAACACAUGGUUUUUAAUGAAAAUUCCAACAUGAUUUGAAUGAAAGUGCUUUCAAAAAGUAUUAUGAAUAGAUAUGCUUUUUUAUAUGCUUCUAUGAAAAGUGCUUUUUGCAAACAAUGUCGGGCUCGUUUGUAAUUACUUUUAAAAUGGUUGAAAGUGUAUUUCGUAAAAAUAUUUUUAGAAACAAUAUUUAGUAAAAUGCAAGUGAAUCCUAAAAAAAACACUUCAAGAAUAGAACAACCAAAGGGGCGAAAACUGUAAACCUCAUAGCAACCGAAUUACAAUUCGAGAACAUACCCGUUACUGAAUCCCAAAUCGCUGGUUCCCAAGUGUAGUCAUGCACAAGCUCGUUUAGAACCAAUAUUUUCUCUAAGAACGAUUUCAAUCAUUUGAAAAACAUUUUUAAACGAACUGAUGUUUUUAGGAGAAACACAAUGAGGAGCAAAUGAUUCCUAGGCGAGAAGAAAAACUAGACAGAAUGUUAAAUAGCACAUUAUGUACCAAUUUUUCUUCAACAAAUUGGAACUACUGAGAAGUUUGGAAACUAAAAAGUAAAGAUUGAUUCUAAGGAUUCUAACCCUGAUGAUUGCUUAUACAGUCGAACUACUUGAAUAGACUGGACUACCGAAGAUAAACUCAUACAUAUACGAAUUAUUAAAAAGUGAAAGAGGCUCAUCUCAGUUUUUUUUUUUUUUUUUAGUUGAAAGAAAAAAAAGGUAAAACAUGGAGAAGAUCAUGAACAGUAAUGGGUUUUAGUAUAUAUAAAUAUAAUUUGUAACUGUAUCUGUCCAAAUAUGCCGUGCAAGUUCUAUUCAUUAGCAGGUACUUUGAUUGCCAUGCAGUAAGAGCAUACAACGGAGAUUGGCUUUGUAUCAAGGCGUACGUCCCAUACACCUCUUUUAUGGGUGAUGCUGUCCACACACUUCUUUUAAUUACCAGUCGUCAUAUAGAAUGAAUUCAAGAGGAUCAAAUGACUAAAAUUAACAGAGAAUAUGUAAAAGAUAAACCAGAGUGUAUGGAUAACACCACCCUAUCUUAUUAGGAUAAUAACAUCCGAUGUGUUUGAUAUAAUCUUUUAGGGACUAACCAAAACAUUGAGUUACAAAAGUCAAACACUUCCGAUGAUGGAAGAACUAUAUCCACUUCUAUCGUCACAAAACUUGGACAAUAACAUCACACCACCAUACUUUGACGACUUCUUUAUCACCGGCAGAAUUUCCGAAUUCAACAAAGCAGCCGGAACAUACCCACUCUUGGCCGCCUUAGGAGCCGCCAGCAACCCCAAAAACAUCUUCCCUGUCUAAUACAAUGAUGUCACUUGGCGUCUUAACAAGAUGGGAGACUUUGGAGGGACUUUAUUGAGUACUCCAGAGUACUCAGUACUCUCAUUUGUUUAAAAAUAUAAAAAUCAAAAUCUAACGAUUAAAACAUCUAGAGUAUCCAUAUAUAGUACUGCUCAAAACUUUUUGAGACAUUGGACGUGAUCCCUCCUAGAAAUUAUUAAGUUAUACAGUAGUACACUUCAGCCGUGAUACUUUCAUUCAAAGGCUAGCUUUAUACUAAUAUGUGAUACUUUCAUUCCAUAUUUGAGAGCCAUUGGAUAAGUAUAAAGCUAACCUUUACAAUAUGAGCUAGUUAGUUAGCCUUCACACACACAGUGCCUGCCUAUCAUGUAACCAUUGACAAUGAUACCCGACAAUUUAUUUGGAGAGAGGGUCCUCACUCAUUUAUUUGGACCUAUAACUUCAUUUCAUAAUAACUCCAUCACAUCAUUUUAUGUACCAUAGUUUAUUCAAUUUCAAAAAUUAGUACACGCAAUAACAUGUUUUAUCGUAAAAUAUACGAGGUUUUUUAGUAUAUUAGAAAUACGAGAUGAUGCACCACAUGUCAUUAUAUAAAUGAAGAGAAAUUUUUUUUUUUUUUAAAUGUGCCUCCACUUAUAUAAUGUAUUGUACCACCCAAAUUCUGAAUAAGUGAAAGAUCUCUCCAAAAAAUACAUAUGCAUGUUUUAUUCAAAAGGUAAGGAAUGAUGCGUCAUCAUCCCUAACACACUUUAUUAUAGUAGUAGCAUCAAUUGAGGCAGAGAAGUUAAUUAGAUGCUGUCCUUAAUGGAUGCACUAUAACCGUUGUCAUAGAACCUGCUCCAAAGCAUAACUCCUCCGUACUUGGGCGAAUUCUUAAUCGUUGGAAGAACUUGUGACUUGAGAGCGUCAGCAGGAAUAAAUCCGCCGCUUGGAGCGGCCUCAGGAGCUGCCGGUAACCCCAUGAACACCUGGGUGGCCGGAACCGAGGCCCAUUGGUUCCAACUGCUUAAAAGAGCGUCGGCAUUACCGUCUGCAUACUGGCAUGGGGGGUUGUUGUAGAACUGAACCCAAACGUAGUCAAAUAAACCGGUUUGGAUAGCGGCGUCCAGGUGAGCAUCCGGGAUCGGACAUUGUGGAGCUGCGGCUAAAUAGACCGUUUUUGCCUGUGCGUUGUGUCCGUUGAGUGACCUGGCGAGCUCAUCAUAGAACUGCGCACCACCCGCCUCAAUGUCGAAAUCAACGCCGUCCAAAACCGCGUCCCCAAGCGGGCGCGAAGCGGACUGACCACCUAAGAAGUUGUUCCAGAUGUAAUCAGCAACUUGCCUUGCAUCAUCAGCUGAAGUGAGAGAGUAACUUCCGGCGCCCCCUCCAAUCGAGAGGAGGACUUUUAUGUUUUUUGAUUGGCAGGUUCUGAUGUCAGCACUCAGCCCCGUGCAAGUACCACUAGGGGGGUCGCAGUGGCCGGCGAGGUUUAGGACAGGGGUUUGGUUGUUUCCGAAAGUAGUGAGGAAAGCUAUGUUAACAAACUGGUAGUUGCCUGAGUUGCAAGCAUCUGCUAGGGUUCCUUCGUUGCCGUUUUGGCCCCAAUAGAUCGCAAUUCCGGCGGCUUGGGAGGACUUGCAUGAAGAAAUGAGGAUCAAGAGGGACAGAGUUAGGGUUAGGGUUUGUGUUUUGGAUGCCAUUUUUGUAUGUGUUUUUUUGGGUUGUUGCUCAAAGUGCUUGGGAGGGGACAUGUACUUAUAGGUGGAGACUUACUGGUUAAGGUUUAGGGGAAGAAAAAUAUGACACACGAGUUCUGCUUGUAAGAAAUGGAUGCCAGUCUUCUGCUUGUCAAUCAAGUUAGCUAGGGCCUGUUUGGUCGAAGUUUCACAUGAAACGUCGAUUAAGUUAGGUCGGGUUGGAAAUGCUUUCUUCAAAAACCACUUACACACGUAAGCUCUUCUUAUAUUUUUCAUAAUAAUGCAAGUGCUUUUGGAAAAAACACGAGAGGUGUUUCGCAUGUGUUUUUUUCAAAAAGCACUUCAAAUAUUUUUUCUACCUAAAAAUCCAUUAAAGCUCCUUUACUUGUUUUAAAGAAACUUCCAAAAUAAUAUUUAAAGAAAAAUUACUUCUAGAGAGAAUUAUAACAUGCUAAUUGAGAGAUCCCGAAACUAGAAACUAGAUGGUUAUAGUGAAGCGUGACCUUAACUGCUUAAUUAGGUGAAAAAAGCCAUCAAAUUUGACAAAAAGUCUGAUGAAAGGUCAUAGCUGUAUGCAUAAUCCGUAGAUGAGAUAAUCAUGAAACAAUACGUGGGGAAUCAACACAGCCUUAUCAUCGUCAAAAAAUUUUAGUGUUCUAGAAACACGAUCUGAUAUACAAAAUGUUUUAACAUCAAUUGAACGUUUUGGAAAUUUGUGGAUAGAAACCAAAUGGAAUAUGCUUGCUAGCUGCUAUAUACAUCUUGGAUUUUAGCUGAGGUGGCCAUUGGCCAAGGACUGCGAUCUAAUCACGAUGCUUUAAUUUCGCAGUACGAAAAAAAUUUCAGAUAAAAUUUAGAACAUGUUUAGGGAGUGCUUUCAAAUCACUGAAAGCGAUUUUAGAAAGAAAAAAAAUGUUUAUACAACUAAUUUUUAAUAAAAAUGCAAGUUAAUUCUCUAAAAGUAUUGAAAUUAGUGCUUCUUUGAUGAAUUACUUUAAGUGCUUUUGGAGCUCAAAAAUAUUUUCUCAAGUGGUUUCAGUUAUUUAAAAACACUUUCUAAACGAGUUAAUGACUCGUGUAUGGCAACAUUUAGCAAGUAAUAGCUCUCAUGAAUUGGAUUGUGGUGAUGUGAAAAUGGGUUUGGGUAAGUUUAGUUUAGAUCAGUCACCAGUGUAUAAAAUAUCCAUGAAAUUGUCGAUAUUUUCAUCAAAAUAUCCUUAAAAUUUAGGGUCCAUAAGGAAAAGAAGGGUAAAAUAUAAAUUUCAACCUAUAUUGGCGAGAUAUAAGAAAACAAUGAAUAUCGACAAUAUUUACCAAUUAACUACAAAAUGUUGCUAAAACCUAUUGCAGAUUUUGAACUUUAGAAUUUUUUUUUUAUAAAUUUUUUCUUUAAUUUCGACUAAAUCUGAAUGAGUUGAUACUUGAUAUGCUUAUCCCAUUGUAAAUUUCCAUCAAAGACUUUCCAACUAAAUCGAUAUUUUAAACAUUGGUUUAGACCCACAUGUUUAAUAUCCAGUGCAUGCAAAUAGAAUGUCAAAUCUUUCAGAAAAACUUCAGUAGGACUGCCACUUAAGGGCAACUAGCAUAUUAAAGAGACCAAUGCAAGGUUGGAUGAGACUAAAAUACAUAAGAGCAAUUCCACCGGGGACCAAAUGUCCCAGCCUCCAGUCCAAAAACCAAGCCAGGCCUCUGUCAAUCAAGUCCACCCCAACAAACUGACUGGUACCCAGCCCGAGUUGGGCAAGAGCCCAGCCCAAAAGAGACUGAGACAGAAGCCGGGGAAGAAGCCUGGCGCGUGCACUUCACGUAGCCGUUUGGCGAGUGCCCGACAAGCUUUCAGACGCCGGGGCCCGCGUGCAGGCGCUGUCAGUCCCCCCCCCGAGUUGCGACGUGGCUACCUCUCUGCCGUUGGAUUUCCAACGGCUAGUUUUCUAGACCGUUGGAUUUCCAACGGUAAAAAAAUUUUAAAUUUUACUUUUAAACUAGACCGUCGGAUCAAAGAUCAACGGUCCACGUUUUUUUCACAAAAAGUAAAUUAAAAAAAAAAAAAAAGGGCCCAACGGUCAGAAAUAUGACCGUUGGCCACGUGGCAACUCCCUAGCUCUUGGAUUUGAAUAUUUUUCAAAUCCAACGGUCCAGAUUAAUUAACUAUAUUAAAAUUCAUUAAAAAUUAUUAAAAAAUACAGAAAAAUUAUUAAAAAAUACAGAAAAUUUUAAAAAAAUUACAGAAAAUUUUGAAAAAUGUUAAUUUUUUUUCCUAUAAAUACCUAACCCUCAUCUUCUACCUUUACACCACAUUCCAAUAUUUUCUACACUUUCUAUACUAUCUACAUUUCAAAAUAUUUUCUACACUUUAAGAGAAAAAAAAUGUCUUCGUGGAAGCUCAUUGAAGAUGUUACGUUGUGUGAAUGUUGGGUUCACACUACUCAUGAUCCGAUUACGGGUAAUGAGAUGGAUAAGCGAGAGAUGUGGAGUAAAAUUACGAAAGCGUUUUGUGAUGUACAUGGAGAAAACGCCAGAACUAGUCAAGGUCUUCAAGGUCGUUGGAAAAAACUCAAUGCAUCAUUUACUUGUUGGAAAAACGCCAUCUCUCAUGCUUCCGGUAACCUCCGUAGUGGGACAAGUUUAGCGGAUCAGGUGACAAUAUUUUUUAUUUAUUUAUAUGCAUUCCACUCACAUUAAUAUUUUGAUUUAUUUAAUUUCGUAUGUAAUUUUUAUCUUAUUUCUUAUGUAAUUUUUAUUUAAUUUCUUAUGUAAUUUUUAUUUAAUUUCUUAUGUCAUUUUUAUGUAAUUUAUAUGCAUUCCACCCGUAUUAAUAUUUUGAAUUUAUUUAUUUGUGUUACACCCGCAUUUUUUAACACUAUGUUAUCCCACUUUUUUAUAGACACUACAAGCUCAAGCAUUCUACAAUUCAAAGAACGGGAACAAAUCAUUCAAUAGAUUGGAAUGUUGGCAAAUUGUCAAAGAUUGCCCUAAAUACAAAAUUGUGGCAACUGGUCCAGAAGUUGUCAUGCACGGUAUGGGUCUACAUAGUUCUCCAGAACCAGACAUGGCCGAACAAGAAGCCGACACAUUUCAAGACACGGAAGGGACGGCUGAACAAGUGCCCGAGACCCAACCGACUCGUCAGUCCCUAAGGCCUCUAGGUAAAAAGGCGUCAAAGAAAAAAGGUAGUUCUUCCAAAAAAUGACUACACUAAAUAUAUGGAGGAACUUGCUCGCCAAGGUGAACUAAACUUGGCACGAGAAAAGGCUAGAGAUGAGGAAAAAGUUGCUGCUAUGGCAGCAAUAUUAGCAGCUACUGAGGCCCGUGAUGCGGCGGCUGAAAGACAAAGAGAAGUAGUUAAUCGAGAGAACGAGCUGGUUAGAGAAGCACUUCAUCGAGAAAAUGAAUUGCUUCGAGAAGAAAGGAUGGCUCAAGCAUCGUGAUCGUGACACUAUGAGCAAGUCUCUAGUAGGACUGUCUCCGAAUUCUAAAUAUUUUUUAGACAUCGGAAAAAGAGAUGCCAUGCGUAGGAGGCGUGCAAGAGAUGCGGAAACAAGUCAAGGGGGUUCUAGCUACACAAAUCAUGGCAACCAAGAUCCUAGCACCACAUAUCCUAACUCGAGAGACUUUAUUUAAUUUCUUAUGUAUUUUUAUGUAUUUUCUUUCUUUUUUCUAGUAGAACUUUAUUUAAUUUCUUAUGUUUUUUCUUUUUUUUAGGUUUGAACUUUAUUUAUUUUCUUAUGCAAUUUUAAUGUAAUUAUUUAUUUAAUUUCUUUUGUACUUUAUUUAAAACACAUGAAAUAAGAUUACACAUAAACUCACCAAAUAAAUUUAAAAACAAAACACAUUACAUAGAAUUACAUAAACUCACCAAAUAAACUUAAAAACAAAACACACUACAUAGAAUUACAUAAACUCACCAAAUAAACUUAAAAACAAAACACACUACAUAGAAUUACUUAAACUUAAAAAAAAAUACAAUUUAUUCUUCAACCACAAGCCUCAUUCUAAUUAUCUUCGCCUCCAUGCAAUCCCCACUGGUGCUCAAUCAAGUCAUUCUGGCGGGUUACGUGCCAGUAUGGCUCUUGCACAUUAGUGUACCGCUGAACGAUCAAUUCAUUGUAACGUCCAUCACGUUCCAACGGCUCGUGUUGCACUGGAUCUUCGGUCCCAUCAUGAGCACAAUAAAUACGUGUUCUUGAGUUGUUCAUCGGAUCUGGCUCAUAUUCAUCGACGGCAUCAUAAUCAUACUCAUCUUCAACAAUCAUGUUAUGGAGAAUAAUACACGUCAUCAUGAUGGAUCGAAGAGCCUCGACAUCAAACAUUCUAGCUGCAGCCCUGACAAUCGCCCAACGAGCUUGCAGGAUACCAAAACAACGCUCGACAUCCUUCCUACACCCUUCUUGACAUUUUGCAAAGUGUUUUUCCUUUUCAGUCUGUGGAUGUGGCACUGUUUUGACAAAUGUUGACCACCUUGGGUAAAUGCCAUCUGCAAGGUAGUAUGAUCCCUCGUAUUGGGUACCAUUAACCCAAUAUGUGCAUCUCGGCGAGUUUCCUUGCAGCAGUUCGUCGAACACUGGGGAUUGGGCAAGGACAUUUAGGUCAUUUUGAGCUCCUGGAACACCAAAAAAAGCAUGCCAAAUCCAUGUAUCAAAUGAAGCCACCGCUUCCAAAAUGAUGCUUUUGGCUCCUUUUCUGUCGCCAUAUGCUCCUUGCCACGCACUUGGACAGUUUUUUCCAAGUCCAGUGCAUGCAGUCGAUGCUUCCAAUCAUGCCAGGGAAGCCUCGCAUCUCACCCUUCCUCAGAAGCCUUCGCAUGUCCCUUGACGUGGGUGUCCGGAGGUACUCUUUGGUGUAGAGGGCUUCAAUUGCAGAGCAAAACCGCAUCAGGGACUCCAGAACAGUUGUUUUUCCCAUCCUCGCGAUCUCAUCCACUUGAUCUGCAGAUGCUCCAUAUGCAAGCAUUCGCAAGGAUGCCGUAAUUUUUUGCUCGGGAAUAAGACCUAGAACAUGAAAAGCAUCCUCUUUUUGCACAAAGUAUGAAUCAUUGUUGCAAAUAUCACUCAUGAUUUUGUUGAACAAAUGUCGUUGCAUUCUAAAACGCCGUCUAAACAUGAUCAGGGAAUAUGCUAUUGGGAAUAAAAUAGUCUUCCAAUAGAUUUUUACCUCGUUUUUCCCUUUUUCUAUCGAGGUUUGCAACACGUCUUGGUUUGGCUAUCUGACCCACGGCUUCCAUGACACGGCGGGAAUGUGAGGCCUUCUGCCUUCUAUGGUGAUCAUCCUCAUCCUCCUCCAUGAAGAAAGCCUCAUCUCCACCUCCACCUUCCUCGAGAUUGGCCAAUUCUGCCUGUUGUGCCAACAACCUUUGUUGUUGCUCUUGCAACUGCUUAUACACCCUUCUUGAAGAAGACAUUGUAAUAAGAACUCAAGAUUUGAAAAUGAUGAACAAGGAUUCUGAGCUAAAAAGAAGGAUUGAGCUUGGUGUGAGGAUGGAUGUAGGGAUGUAGGGUUUAUAUGGACAAAAAAAGAAAGGAUGAGGUUCUGGACAAUGCCACGUGGCACUACGUGAUUGGUUGAAAAUCUUAUCGAAAUCUUGGCUAAAUUAUUGUAAACCGGAAGUGACACGUGGCGUGUCAGGAUUGGUCGAGAAUAUUAUCGAAAAUCUAUCCACAAAAUAGUACGUUCGGAUAAUGACACGUGGCAUGACGUGAUUGGUUGAAAAUCUUAUCGAAAUCUUGGCUAAAUUAUUGUACCAUGGAAGUGACACGUGGCGUGUCGGGAUUGGUUGAAAAUAAUAUCGGAAAUCUAUUCACAAAAUAGUACGUUCAGAUAAUGACACGUGGCGUGACGAGAUUGGUUAAAAAUCCUAUCCGAAAUUAAAACUAUUUUAUUUUUUUAUUCUUUAUUUUAAAUGGGUUAAAAAUCUUAUCCGAAAUAAACUUAAAAAAAAAACACACCAAAUAAAUGCGCUGGGUGCUAGCGCAUUUUUUUAGGGGUGGAGAUGCCUUGGCCUAUUACUGUUCACUCCAGUCUAUUACUGUUCAUUUGAGUGGAUAAAUGCGCUGGGUGCUGGCGCAAAGUCCACAGGGGUGGAAUUGCUCUAAAGUCUCGUGUUUUGAUGAGAUGUGGUCUACAAAUGAUAUAGCAUGUGCCCUACGAAAAAUGAGAUCGGAUUACCUAUUUGAAGCUUCUCUAGUAUGAAAAAUUCAAGAGGGAUGUGACGGGUCCGGAAAAUAAAAAAUCACACAUUUUUAUUAAUAAUUUUUUUGUUCGAAUUCGGAAAUGUAUAGAACUGAACAAAUGGAAUAGUAGCUCAGUGAUACCAACAAUUUCAUGUUGCAAAUCACAAAACAAAAAAAAAGGAACUGUUUUACACAAAAUUAAUGACAAUUAGAGUUGAACAACAGAAGCUUGCACUUUAAACGGUUUUUUUCUGCUGCUUUUGGUAUGUAUAUGCUUUUUCCAUGUCUCGAUGUAGUGCCAGUUCACAGGUCAUCAUCCUGGAACAAUGCUUUCGAAACAGAGCCGCACGGCUGGCUACUGUAUUCUCGGUAAUCUUCAUCGUCAUCCCAGCUGCGUUGCGAGCAUGAACGUUUGAUUCCUGUCAUUGGGGUUUCACAUACUCUGUCAUCACAUGAACCUCUAUGAUCCUUCCUUUUAAACAGCUUUCGAAGCGGAUUUAACUUUGGUUUCAAUGGUUUCAGCUGUUUUGGGGCCCAAACUCUCUGCAGAUCGGGCAUCCAUCUUGUGGAUGAAGCGAAUCUCCAAGCCCUCUCUCUCCUCUCUUGAGCUUCAAGUAACUUGCGAGCAUGGUCGUCGUUUUGUUUGAUCUCUUCAGCGCUCGGUCUUCCAAUAUCAGUUUUCAGCGGACGAAGAGACUCACCUUCUGCUGAUAAUGAGUCCCAGAUUCUAUAACUUUCAUCCACUUCGACACUCUUUGGUUUUUCUUUACAGGAUUGAUUGCUAUCCUCACUGUUGAGUAAACUAAUAGGGAGUUCUUCCUCAUCGGCAAACAGUAGCAAAUCCAUUUUUGUAUAGAUUUUGUGAACCACAUCUUCAAGUGUCUCACAGUACCUGAAAAUGUCCAAAUUCAAAGAUUAAUCUACCUGCUUAAUUCUCCAUCUCAAACAAAAAUUGAUCACCUGCAUUUGUACAUCAGGAAACUAAAUGCAGGAAUGAAUUAUUUAAGCUCCAUCAUUUCAAGGAUCAUACCGUAGGCUAAUAUGCUAUUGCAGAAGUUGUAUAAACAUAUUCCUCACUCGUUCAGAAAAACAUGCCUACGAUGUGCGGAUAACUGGCUUAUACCCUGUAAAUCUACACUAAUAAGGAAACACACUUAACUCAUCUAAGAUUAUAAAGAUAAUCACUUUCCUUUUUUAGCAUUAUUGCAAAGGUAAGUAGGAGAGCAUUGGAUGGGCAGUAAUAUCCCACAGGAAAGUGGAAACAGUGGCACCGGAAAUGUGUAUUUGAUGAGACAUGAACGGUAGACUGAAUGAGUGUCGAGAAAGCCAUAACGACUCGGUAAAACAUCCAUUAUAUAAAGUAAAGAAUAAUGCGAAAGGCAGGGGUUUUCAACUCUGGUACAGAUUUAUUACCUGCUUUUUAUGAUCCUUUCAACAUAAUCAUCUACACUCCAGUCACCAAAGAAGCCCUCCAGAUGACAUCGAAUUUUCUCCAAAAACGAGCAAAUCUGUUUUACAAACUUCUGUUUCAUAGAUUCUGCAAUACUUGCACCAACCUCUGAUUGUAGUAUCUCCAUACGGAAAAAUAUCUGCAAUUCAUAUCUAGUACUAGGUGAAGGAAAAGUGUAAAUGUAAUUGGAGACAAAUUUUCAUAUUGGUAGAGUUAUAACUGGAUUAAUGCAUAAUACAGAAGACAGUUCAGUUAUAAAUGAGAAAGGAUACUCUCGAACUAUUUUUCCAGAAGUCAGUCCUUCAGAUUCUGAAUCGGAUGCUUUAACAAACGGGCCGGAGCUUUUCUGCCUUGCAGUGAUAUCCUUGGGAUCUCUCAGUAGAAGUUUUAACACCUCAGCAGAAACCAAAUCAUCAGUAGCACCAGAUUUUACAAGGGAAGUUUGACUCUCUGAAAGGGCUUCUGUUUCCUGCUUUUUAUUUAACCAAUAUAUGGAUGAAUUCACAAGCCGAUAUGCCAAUGCCCCCAAGUCUACUGCUUCAUAUUCAAGCCCCUGUUGUAUCUUGUUGGAUAGACUACUGAAAAAAUCUUCCGACGUUUCUGAUCUAAAUUCCAAAGCAGCUUCAUCUUGUAUGCCAGAAGCCACAGUCAAAGAAUUUUCUCCAAUGGAAGGAGAUGAAGAAAUUGGCUGUUCACUUUCAUGGUGCAAGUUAUCCAACCUAUUGUCCAUCCCUUUUCUAUUGAGCUGGUCUGCCUGGGAUUCUUUCUCCACUAUUAGACCACGAUCGCUAGACUUCUUAAUUUGUUUCAUCCAGCAUUUCAGAAAUCGUAUCUUUUUUGAGUUAUAACAUUCCCUGGCAAAGUAAACCUCUUCCAAACCUAUCUCUGAGUGUUCAAAUGCUGCCUUGUAGAAGGCACUCCAUGUGAGAUCUUGUAGCAACUGUGAAUUUCUUUUGUUAUUUCUCUUCCUUCCCUCCUUGCCUGCAGAAUGCUUAUUGGAUGGCCCAGUUUGGUCCAAAUCAGCAUUCGGUUCGCAAAUCCCAUUCUUCAUAUUUCGACUUGAUUGGUCUGCUUUUGCUCCACCAAUAUCAUGCACUUUUGUCUGAGGGUGAAAUCCUUCAUCCACAAUAAACAGCCGAGCCGAAGAAACUGUGAAAGGUUUGAGAAUUCCGGUAGACGAUACACCACUGUCACUUGAAAGAGACACUAAUGCUCCAUGACCAUUCCUAUAUAAGAAACUCAAGAGAAUCUGCCAAAUGGGUGCUGACUUUCUCUUUGCAUUCUCACCCAAGUCCACUGCUACCACUUCUAGAACCUUAUCUGCAUAAUAAUUGCCAGAACUUUCUUUUCCAUCUUCACCAGGUUUUCCCAAAACAUCACAGACAAGGACUGGAUCAGAUAAGUGCCCCUUGAAUUUCAGAAACUCAUUGUACUUUUGCAAAGCCUUAACCUGGAACUUUGUCACGCCUUUGACAAAAUACCCCCAGAACAAUUCCUUCAGUUUACCACCCUUUGUUUGUGAAUUCAUGAUUUCUAGGGAAAAGAAAGCAUCAUCAGCUGCAUUUCUAGGCAACUUCUUCAAAUCAACCAAUUGAAGAUCACAAACCUUGCAUUCCAAAGGCUUCCCACUUACAUCUAAGAUCUCGAGACUCAACUGCGCAUUGACUUUCUUAUGACUAUCAUCACAACCGAAAAACUUGGAUGAAAUCCCUAUCUCGGGAUAAAUCAAACCAAAGGAAACAAGAGCAGAGCCAAGAAUAAUCCAACCAGUCGAGCAAAAUCCCCAUCCCAAACUCCUAACCCCACUCUCGAAAAACCCAAAUCUCGUCUUAUCCUCAUCGUUCCCAACCUUACCCUCACCACAUUCUAAUUCAUACCUGACAUCAACCCAGCUACACUGAAUAUCUCUACUCACAAAUGCUUCAUUCACAUUCUCAAAGAAACCCCUAAAUCUCUCGGAAAACGCUUUCACAUUUUCCAAAGACUCGUCACCCACACCCACUGUUAGGUCACAACUUCUAAAUUCCCUUUCUCGACCUGCUAGUAGCUGAUAGUAAUGGCGGUGAGUGAGUGGGAAGGAAGAUAGAGAGAGAUAGAAAGUUUCUUGUAAUAUUGUUUUUCUAAUUCAAUCCUGCAGAACAAUGCCACAAUUUGGUUCUUAUACAACCAUCCUUCUCACAAUGCCAGCUGGCUACUAACAAUAACGACAUGUAGCUAAAUAGUUUUCCACUAUUAUUCUAACCACUAUUAUAAUCAUAACACUACCCCUCCCUUACAAAAUAAACCUUGUCCUCAAGGUUAGAAUUAAAGACUGAAAUCAGGAAAUCUGGCAGCAAACUCGUCAUAAUCCUCCCAUGUAGUUUCGUCCUCUUUGUUGUUCUUCCACUGGAUUAACAACUGAACUCCAGCAGCUUGGCCCUUCUUGUAGACCCUCAUUUGUAGCACCUUGAGUGGUUCGAGUGGUAGCAACCCAUCAUCAGUGACAGUAGGCAAGAAUGGAGUUAUGUGACCUUGUCUCCCAAGUGCUUCUUCAAGCAACUAACAUGAAAGACUGGAUGAAUUUUUGAAUUCUCAGGCAGUUUCAAUCGGUAGGCAACCUUCCCAAUAUUUUCCAAAACCUCAUAAGGACCAUAGUACCGGGGAUGAAGCUUAUGGUAAGCAUGAGAUGACAAAGAUUGCAAUUGAUAGGGAAUUAAUUUCAAAUACACCAAAUCUCCUUCCUCGAAAACCCUCUCACUCCGAUGCUUAUCUGCUUGUGUUUUCAUCCGGUUCUGAGCUACUAGUAAAUUGGUCCUGAGCAUUGCUAAUAUUUUGUCCCUAGUUAGCAGCCCUUGCUCCACUAUAUCCAACUUAGCAGUGCCAAGCUCAUAAGACGCGAUGUGUGGUGGUGGAUAACCAUAGACCACUUCGAAGGGGGUGAACUUUGAGGAAGUGUGGUAGGAAGUGUUAUAGCUCCAUUCUGCCCAUGGAAGCCAGUGGAGCCACUUCUUAGGUUGACAGCUAGUGAAGCAUCGCAAGUAAGUUUCAAGGCACCGAUUCACCACCUCUGUCUGGCCAUCACUCUGUGGAUGGUAACCCGAGCUCAUACACAACUUGGAGCCUUGCAACUUAAAAAAAUUCUUUCCAAAAAACACUCAUGAAAAUGGUGUCCCUGUCACUCACAAUGGUAGAGGGCAUCCCAUGGAGUUUAAACACAUUAUCAACAUAUUCCUGAGCUACCAUGCUUGCCGUAUACGGAUGUGCUAAGGGGAUGAAAUGAGCAUACUUGGACAGCCUGUCUACGAUUACCAGGAUCACUGAUUUGCCUUUGCACAGAGGUAAACCAGUGAUGAAAUCCAUGCUUAUAUCCUUCCAUACAUGUGUAGGGAUCGGCAGAGGUUGAAGUAAUCCGGGAGGGGAAAUGGUUUCAUACUUAUUUUGCUGGCAUUCCCGACAUUCAGCCACCCAUGACCUGAGAUCUUUCUUCAUUCCUACCCAAUAGAAGCCCCUCUUCAAUAUCUGAUAAGUCUUUAGAACCCCUUUCAUGGCCUGCACUUGGAGAAGAGUGAUGUUCCUCAAAGACCUUCCUUUUCCAACUUGAAUCUGGGCUAAGCACGAUCCGUCCUUUGUAUUUGAGGAAACCGUUGUCUAAAUGGUACUUGGACAGAUUGGGGUCAAUUGCAGCAGCUUAAGAAUAUGCUAACACCUUCUGCACCUUGCUUUGAAUCCAACUAUCUUGUUCUAACCCUCUCCGAAGUUCAUCUAGCCACCCGAAGUAGGGGUAUGUGAUAGCUUUGCACUCCAAUAAGUCACUGAGAGGUUUCUCUUGUAAUUGAGACGAACCAACUACUCGAGAUAAGGCAUCAGCCAUUAUGUUGUCAUUGCCUUGCCUAUAUUGUAUCUCAUAAUCAAAUCCCAACAACUUGGCCACCCAUUUCUGUUGGAACGGGGUAGUAGUUCUUUGACUCAGAAAGUAUUUCAAGCUGCUAUGAUCUGUCUUUAUGAUGAAAUGGCGCCCUUGAAGGUAGUUUUGCCAUUUUUUGAUAGCACUAACAAUGGCAAUCAACUCUCUUUCGUAUGUAGACAAUGCUUAAUUCCGUGGUCCCAAUGCUUGACUUGUGAAAGCUAUAGGUCUGCCAUUCUGUUGCAACACAGCCCCUAUUCCAUUGCCAGAUGCAUCACAUUCCAAAGUGAAGGGAAUAGCAAAAUUGGGUAAGGCUAAUAGCUGCGGAGAAGUCAUUGUUCUUUUUAAUGCUUGGAAAGCUGCCGUGGCUUCAGGGGACCAAUUGAAACCAUCAUUUUUUGUUAGUUGAUACAAGGGUUGACACACCUUGCCAUAACCGGGGAUGAAUUUUCUAUAAUACCCUGAGAGCCCGAGAAAUCCCCUCAACUCUUUGACAUUUUUCGGUAUCGGCCAAUCUAUAAUUGCUUGAAUUUUAGUAGGAUCUGCAGCCACCCCAUCACGAGAGACGAUGUGCCCCAAGUAUUCCACCUGUGAUUGGCCAAAAGAGCAUUUCGAUUUCUUCACUGCUAAUUGGUGUUUCUGUAAUAACUCCAAAGUUUGGUGCAAGUGUGAAAGAUGGUCCUCCCAGGUCUUGCUGUACACCAAAAUGUCGUCAAAGAACACCAAGAUGAAUUUCCGGAGGUAAGGCUUAAAAAUGUCAUUCAUAAGGGCUUGGAAAGUGGCAGGAGCAUUUGUAAGACCAAAGGGCAUGACUAAGAAUUCAUAAUGCCCUUGGUGAGUUCGGAAGGCAGUCUUUUCCACAUCGGAGGGACAUACGGAUCUGAUGAUAUCCAGACCUAAGAUCAAGCUUAGAAAAAUACUGAGCGCCAUGCAAUUCAUCUAACAAAUCAUCCACUAAUGGAAUAGGAUAUUUAUCCUUAAUGGUAAUGCUGUUCAAUUCACGAUAGUCCAUGCAAAGCCUCCAAGUGCCCUCCUUCUUCUUGACCAAGAGAACUGGAAAUGAAAAGGGACUAUGACUUGGCUGGAUGAAUCCAGCAUCUAAAAGUUCUUGCACAGCUCGUUCAAUCUCAGUUUUUUGCAUAGGACCAUAAUGGUAUGGUCUAAUACUCGGAGGCUUGGAACCAGGAAGCAAUGGAAUCUGGUGAUCAUGAGCCCGUGGAGGUGGUAAGGUAGUAGGAGGCUUAAAAACCGUUUCAAAUUGCCUGAGCAUACCCUGCAGCUCAAUGAGUUGCUGGGGAUUCAAGUUGGAUGCCUCCAACGGAUUAGUUUCCAUUGAAUACAAUAAGACGCCCCAAUUAGAGUAUUUAAACUCUUUUUCAAGCUGUUGACAAACAGUAUCCUGUACCAAGUACGCUGGAGCAGUGGAAUGAACAAGUUUAUAGUGGUCUUUUCCCACAGAAAAUUCCAUGGUUAAGUUGUGAAAAUCCCACAAAACUGGACUCACAGAUGAGAGCCAUUUCACACCCAAUACAACAUCGCAACCCCCUAGAGGAAGUGCGUAGAGGUUAGUGUGGCAGCGAUAUGCACCCAAUUCCAAGGGAAUUUGUUGGCAACAGCCUUGACUUCGGACUUUACCCCCAUCGGCAAUCAUGACAUCGAAGGGUUUGGUGGUGUGACAAGGCCACCCGAGCUGCUUAAGCAACCUAGAAUCCACAAAAUUGUGGGUGCUACCAGAGUCAAGUAGUAUGGUAACAGGUAGAGUGUGAAGCACACCAGCCACUUUCAUGGUUUGUACCGUGGAGGGCUCAGUAGUGCCAUAGAACGCACAAGCACUCAACUCCAUGCUUGAUAGGGAAAGAUCAAUAGGCUCCAGUAAUUCACACUCUGUAGGUUCCAGCAAUUCACACUCGGUAGGCUCCAACUCAUUACAAACAUCAAGCAUAAGGAGCUGUUUAUUAUGGACACAUUUGUGCCCUCGAACCCACUUUUCAUUACAGAACCAACACUCGCCCUUGUCCUUCUUCCGUUGAACUUCCUCGGGGGUAAGUUUCUUAUAAGGGAGGGUUUGAGGAUGAGGCCUGGUAAGGGAAGGUAGAGGUAAGGCGAGAGGAGGUUUGAGUGGGGGAUGAGGUUUUGGGGGAGAUGGUUUCAAGUCCGUGAGUUUAGCAUUUAAUUGGGCAGCAAAGGAAAUGGCCUCAUGAACUGAGGAAGGGCGAAGCAAUUUAACAUCGUAACGCAAUUCCUUCUUGAGACCCCCCAGAAAGCAACUCUUUAAGAGAAUAGGACCAACAUCAUAGGUUCGAGUGGCAAGGCGCCGAAAUUCCACAAUAUAAUCACGAAGAGGGCCGGUUUGGCGGAGUUUGAAUAGCGACUCAGUGCAGUCCUCAAACUCCGGUGGACCAAAUUCCUGGCACAAAGCAGUCGUGAAUUCACCCCAGGUGGGAGUGGAAUGUACACAAUCGCGCCAACGAAACCAGUACAGCGGCUCAUUCUUGAAGUGGAAGGAGGCGGUCAAAACCUUCUGAUUCUCCGGAGUGUGAUAAUAAGCAAAAUAUUGUUCGGCCUUAUAGAUCCACGCUGAGGGAUCAUCACCGUCGGAGAAACGGGGAAAAUCCAGACGAUGUGACCGCUGCGGGCGAGGAGUAAAACCGCCGCCUUCAAAAGAAUCACGGCGCUGAAACCGUGGAGUGUCGAGACAACGAAAAUCGCCAUCAUCGGUCACAAUGGGAGGAGGAAUAUGUGGAUCUGGCACUAGAGGUGGUGGUGCAGUCGAAGAGCCAGCACCGCCUUGAGGACCAGGGUCGCGAUGGAGAUGCUCCAGGAGAAGGGCGAAUUUGGUUUCGAGAGCGGUGAAGCGGGUGUCGGAAUUGGCGUUGGAAGUCUGGAUCAGCUGAGGAAUGGCUCCCAUGGCUUCCAGAGUAGCUUCCACGGCGGAGAGGCGCGAUUCAACAGUGGACAUUCGAGAAUUUGUGGUGUGGCGGGGCAUACAAGAGGGAGACUCAGGAUCGAGAGGCUGAUACCAAUUGUUAGGUCAAAACUUCUAAAUUCCCUUUCUCGACCUGCUAGUAGCUGAUAGUAAUGGCGGUGAGUGAGUGGGAAGGAAAAUAGAGAGAGAUAGAAAGUUUCUUGUAAUAUUGUUUUUCUAAUUCAAUCCUGCAGAACAAUGCCACAAUUUGGUUCUUAUACAACCAUCCUUCUCACAAUGCCAGCUGGCUACUAACAAUAACGACAUGUAGCUAAAUAGUUUUCCACUAUUAUUCUAACCACUAUUAUAAUCAUAACACCCACAUUCGGGAAUUCUGUCAAACAGUUUGCAGACACACAGACGGGCGAAAACAGAACUACCAAAUUAGACCUCACAGCAACCGAAUCACUAUUCGAGAACAUACCCAUCAUUGGAUCGCAGAUCACGGGGUCCCAGGCGUAGUCGUGCACGAGCUGGCGCAAGGAGACGGCGAAAUGCGGGGAGGGAAUUGAGGGUGUGGAAGAGGGAAUUGAAAGUGGGGCCGGGGAGGUGGAAAGAGAGGGAGAGAGAAGUGGGGAGCUUGGAGGAGGAGAGCAGCGGAGAGAGGGAGGAGAAGAAGGGUCUGAAGGCGAAGAGAGAGGCGGAGAGAAGAAGGAAGGAGAGGAUGGUUUUGACGGCGGCGAGGAGGGCGGUGAGAAAUGGAGCUGGGUUUUGGAGGUGGAGGAAUGGGUUGAGGUCUAGGAGGAGGACGAUGCGCACAGUGCCUGCCUAUCAUGUAAAACCAUUGACAAUGAUACAAGACAGUUUAUUUGGACCUAUAAAACUAUAUUUAUGUAAAACUAUAUUUUAUUCAAUUUCAAAAAUUAGUACAUGCAAUGACAUGUUUGAUCGUAAAAAAAAAAAAAAUGAGAAAUUUUCAGUGUAUCAGAAAUACGAAUCGGUAAAAAAUCUCUCCAAAAAUACAUAUGCAUGUUUUAUUCAAAAGGAAAGGAAUGAGGCGCCAUCAUCCCUAACACACUUUAUUACAAGUAGUAUCAUCCAUUGAGGCAGAGAAGUUAAUUAGAUGCUGUCCUUAAUGGAUGCACUAUAACCGUUGUCAUAGAACCUGUUCCAAAGCAUAACUCCUCCGUACUUGGCCGAAUUCUUAAUUGUUGGAAGGACUUGUGACUUGAGAGCAUCAGCAGGAAUAAAUCCGCUGCGCGCGGCAUCAGUAGACGCCGGUAUCCCCAAGAACACCUGGGUGGCCGAAACCGAGGCCCAUCGGUUCCAACUGCUCAAAAGAGCGUCGGCAUUACCGUCUGCAUACUGGCAUUGGGCUAGGGGGUUGUUGUAGAACUGAACCCAAACGUAGUCAAAUAAACCGGUUGGAUAGCGCCGUCUAGGUGAGUAUCCGGGAACGGGCAUUGUGGAGCUGCGGCUAAAUAGACCGUUUUUCCCUGUCCGUUGUGUCCUUUGAGUGACCUGGCGAGCUCGUCGUAGAACUGCGUACCACCCAACUCAAUGUCGAAAUCGACGCCGUCCAAAACCGCGUCCCCAAGCGGGCGCGAAUCUGACUGACCACCUAGGAAGUUGUUCCAGAUGUAAUCAGCAACUUGCCUUGCCUCAUCAGCUGAAGUGAGAGAGUAAGUUUCGGUGGCCCCUCCAAUCGAGAGGAGGACUUUUAUGUUUUUUGAUUGGCAGGUUCUGAUGUCGGCACUCUGCCCCGUGCAAGUACCACUAGCGGGGUUGCAGUGGCCGGCGAGGUUUAGGACAGGGGCUUGGUUGUUUCCAAAAGUUGAGAGGAAAGCUAUGUUAACAAACUGGUAGUUGCCCGAGUUGCAAGCUUCUGCUAGGGUUCCUUCGUUGCCGUUUUGGCCCCAAUACGUCGCGAUUCCGGCGGCUUGGGAGGACUUGCAUGAAGAAAUGAG